rnacentral:rRNA from 1 species
GAUUAAGUUAUUAAGGGCGCAUCGCGGAGUCAUACAGAAAUGUAGCUGACGUUACUAACGGACGAUAUGCUUUUGGGGAGCUGCGGUGCCAGAUCCAGAGAUUUUUGAAUGGGGAACCCAGCACGAGUUAUGUCGUGUUAUCCGCAUGUGAAUACAUAGCAUGAGAAGGUAGGACCCGGAGAACUGAAACACCUUAGUAACGGAGGAAGAGAAAGAAAAAUCGAUUCCCUGAGAAGCGGCGAGCGAAACGAAAGAUAGCCCAAACCAACAAGCUUGCUUUGUUGGGGUUGUAGGACACUCUGUACGGAGUUGCUAAAGGAAUAUGUUAGACGAAUAACCUGGAAAGGCAGAAGGUAAUAAUCCCAGUCGAAAAACGUAUACCCUGAUCCUGAGUACGGUGAGCAUCGAAAUUCCCUGGUCGGAAUCUGGGAGGACCAUCUCCUGCUACAAUACUUAGUGACCGAUAGUGAACCAGUACCGUGAGGGAAAGGUGAAAAGUACCCCGAAGGGGGAGGAAAGAGAACUUGAAACCGUGUGCUUACAAGUAGUUGCAGAGCCUGUUAAUGGGUGUGCCUUUGUAGAAUGAACCGCGAGUUGGCUGUCCGAUUAAGCAGAAAAUGGAGCCGUAAAGGAAAAGCGAGUCUGAAUAGGGGCGAAUGAGUAUUUGGUCGCAGACCCGAAACCAGGUGAUCUACCCCUUGGUCAGGCUGGAAGUUCAGGUAACACUGAAUGGAGGACCGAACUGACUUACGUUGAAAAGUGAGCGGAUGAACUGAGGGUAGCGUGGAGAAAUUCCAAUCGAACUUGGAGAUAGCUGGUUCUCUCCGAAAUAGCUUUAGGCUGUAUGAUGAUUAUUGAGGUAGAGCACUGUUUGGACGAGGGCCCUCGGGUUACCGAAUUCAGACAAACCCGGAAUUCAAAUAAUUUAACUUGGGGAGUCAGGAACAUGGGGUGAUAAGGUCCAGUUCGAAAGGAAACAGCCCAGACCAGCUAAGGUCCCAAAACAUAGCGUUAAGUGGAAAGUGCUGCCUGACAACUAGGAUGCUGGGCUUUAGAAGCAGCCAUCAUUUAAAGAGUGGCUAGCUCACUAGUCGAGGACACUGCGCCGAAAAUGUACUGGGGCUAAAACAUAUUACCGAAGCUGCGGAUUGUCCUUUAGACAAUGGUAGGAGAGCGUUCUAAGGGCGUUGUGCCAUGAUCGCGCGACAUGCGGAGCGCUUAGAAGUGAGAAUGCCGGUGUGAGUAGCGAAAGACGUAAGAGAAUCCUGUCCACCGAUUGACUGGCAAUAUAGGCUCGUCCGCUCUGGUUAGUCGGGUCCUGCUGAGGCCGACAGGCGUAGGCGAUGGAUGGUUGACUUAAACACCAAGGAUCUGUUUUAAGCGAUGGGGGGAUGCAGGAUAGGCGAAGCGUGCUGUUGGAGGCACGUCUGGGCAGUAAGACUGAGUAAAUAGCAAAUCCGGCACUCAUUAAGGUCAAGCUGUGAUGGGGAGAAGAAACAUGUUUUCUCCCGAGUCGUUGAUCACUGCCAAGAAAAGCCUCUAGCUGAAGAUUGGUGCCCGUACCGCAAACCGACAGGUAGUCGAUGAGAAUUUAAGGUGAGCGAGCGAACUCGUUAAGGGAACUCGGCAAAUGACCUCUGCACUUCGGGAGAAGGGGUGCUCUUUAUGUUCACGCUCGAAGAGCCGCAGUGAAUAGGCUUCCUGCUGACUGUUUAUCAAAAACACAGGUCUCUGCUAAACCGUAAGGUGACGUAUAGGGGCUGACGCUGGUGCUGGAAGGUUAAGAGAGUGGUUAGCAUUGGGGCGAAGCUACGAAUCGAAGCCCCAGUAAACGGCGGCCGUAACUAUAACGGUCCUGGUAGCGAAAUUCCUUUGUCGGUAAGUUCCGACCCGCACGAAAGGCGUAACGAUUUGGGCACCGUCUCAACGAGAGACUCUUUAAAUCAUAGUACCGGUGAAGAUGGCUACCCGCGACAGGACGAAAGACCCCGUGGAGCUUACCUGUAGCCUGAUUGGAAAUUCGCACAGUUUGUACAGUGAUAGGUAGGAGCCUUGUAGCGUGAGCGCUACUACGUGGAGGCAGGGAUACUACCCUAAUUGUAUUGAUUUUCAACCCGCAACCUUUUUAUCGAGUUGGGAGACAGUGUCAAGUGGGCAGUUUGAUCAGGGGCGGUCGCCUCAAAGAGUAACGGAGGCGUUUCAAAGGUUCCCCAGAAUGGCUGGAAAUCAUUCAUAGAGCGUAAAGGCGGGAGCUGACUGCGAGACCUACAAGUCGAGCAGGGUCGAAAGCACGGACUUAGUGAUCCGGUGGUUCCGCAUGGAAGGGCCAUCGCUCAACGGAUAAAAGCCACCCCGGGAUAACAGGCUUAUCUCCCCAAGAGUUCACAUCGACGGGAGGUUUGGCACCUCGAUGUCGGCUCAUCGCAUCCUGUAGUCGGUCCCGGCUGGGCUGUUCGCCCAUUAAAGCGGCAGCGCCCAGAACGUCGAGACAAAGUUCCGGUCCCUAUCCGUCGUGGCGUAGGAAAAUUUGAGAGGAGCCGUCCUUAGUAUGAUGAGGACGGAUGGACAUAAAUUUUGAAAAUCAGUUAAAUGUGCCAACGCAUAGCUGGGUAGUCAAGUGUAUGGACGGAUAAGUGCGAAAGACGAAGCAUGAAGCCUCAAGAUGAGGAUUUCCAACUUCGGUUAUGGGGAUUUCAAAGAUGAUGAGGUUAAUAGGUUCGAGGUGGAAGCGUAGCGAUACGUGGAGCUGACGAAUACUAAUCGAUCGAAGACUUAAUCAAUUU